GGGGAUUCCUUAGCGUUCGGUGAGUUUUCUCCAACCUAGCUAGAGAAGCUUAAUGUUUGAGCUUAGCUUUGUUUGUAAGCCUUGUUUGACACUUGUUCCUACAUCCCUAGGGUACUAGGAGACUAGAAGACACCUCGUUGGAGCAAACGAGGAGUUCCGUUGUCAUCGGUGGGUUUGGCUUCGUGGAAAUGGGGCGAAAUAGCCCCUAUGCUCUUUCUACUUGUUGUAAAAUAUUUUUAAAUUCAUUUCUAUGCUAAAUGAAAUUUAUAUGAAUUUUAGAGCACUUAAAAUGCAUGCCUUGUGUAUUAUGAAAAUUUCACUAUAUAAUAGAGCUAUAUGGGUAGAAUGCAUGCAUACGGGAAAAGUGUUUAUCUUGCAAGUGGAAAAUACAUCUCUUAUGAGGAUUAUGACUUGGAAUAUGUACUUUGGAACAGAGUUGCCAUGCUUUAACAUAGAGAACAAGAGUGUCAUAAAGGGGCACUUGAAACUAGUAAACUAUGAAACUGCAACGUAGAGACAUAUUUAUAGGCCACUACAUAUCUGCUAUAUUCCAUGUUAGAGACAUGAUAACAUAGGGAUAGGCCUAAGAGAUUGGUGACAUAUAUUCCAUGUUAUUAGACAUGAGGACUUGGUACUUGUGACAGAUCGUUUGAUUACUUGCCAUUGUGCUCAUUCGCACAUGCUUGUGAGGGUCGCUCCCUACAAGCCGGCACUCCGGAGAUAGCCAUCCCGAUUCAUAUUCGCCGUGCGGGAUUGGGCGCCGAAGUGGAUUGCCGUGGGACAGGCUCAUUCCUAGGGUGGGGAUGAUGACUACCACGGGGCCAUUAGGCUCGGCACCGGCCAGACAGCCUACGGGUGGGUCUCAGGGCCAUAGACAACCUUCGGGUGGGUCUCUUCAGAGUUGACUUUGAGUAUUCACUAUGACAUGUGGACAGAUGAUGACUUAGUGUACUACUUGGACAUUGACUAGAAUAGUAAACAACGGAACUUUACUAUUUCGCAUUGUGAACAUUAUGAUAGUUGGAGACUUUUACUUCAUGCAUAGUUGCUUCAUACUUAUGCUAAUUAUGCUAAGUAGAGAUAUCAUGUUGUAGUAAGUUACAUUUUUACUUACCUUUCGCUUUUCUACUUUUAUAGUCACUGACAUCUUUUGUAGCUUUGGGCCUCGUGGUGCAUUCACUGAAGUCAGUAAUUGCCCACUGGGAACUAUUUUUAAUAGUUCUCACGCCCCUGUUUUAUGGUUUACUUUUCAGAGCCUUCGGCACCGGCGGAGGCACGGGAUCGCGGCAAGGGGAUCGCUUAGCUAGCUAGCGAGGAGCGGUACUUUGCCUAGGUGGUUUACUCUUUCUUUUUGUAGUUGAGAGAGUGAGAGGUUUUUGUAUCCAUGUAUAGAGACCACCUAUGUAUCUACCUAUAGCACUUGUAUCUGGGAUUUCCUUGUAUCACUUUAUGUUUUAUUUAGUGAAUUUACAGUUUUAUCCUUAUCCCUUGUUGUAGCAUUUAGACAUUUAUUAUGCUCUGAUACUCCUAGAUGUCUUUUAUUAUUGCUUUUAUUAUUGUUAUUUUUAGACGCCUUAUAUGUUUAGACGUAUGGCGGGUCUGGGCACGUGCCAGGCGGGCUUCUGCUGGGUCCUGGGGCGUGACAAUUGGAUUUGUCACGAGUGUGAGUUCUUCGACAAGGUUUGUCAACUAAUAGGUGGGUUUGACCUAACCAGAGCAAGUGAAGCUCCCCUAUGUUCUAUAUGAUACUAUAGAAUUAGUACAUAGGUGCACUCUUGUGAUUAUGUGAUUGAUAAGGGACAUGGAAAGCCACCACCACAAUGUUU
rnacentral:lncRNA from 1 species